rnacentral:rRNA from 1 species
GAAGAGCCGCAGUGAAUAGGCCCAAGCGACUGUUUAUCAAAAACACAGGUCUCUGCUAAACCGUAAGGUGAUGUAUAGGGGCUGACGCCUGCCCGGUGCUGGAAGGUUAAGAGGAGUGGUUAGCUUCUGCGAAGCUACGAAUCGAAGCCCCAGUAAACGGCGGCCGUAACUAUAACGGUCCUAAGGUAGCGAAAUUCCUUGUCGGGUAAGUUCCGACCCGCACGAAAGGCGUAACGAUUUGGGCACUGUCUCAACGAGAGACUCGGUGAAAUCAUAGUACCUGUGAAGAUGCAGGUUACCCGCGACAGGACGGAAAGACCCCGUGGAGCUUUACUGUAGCCUGAUAUUGAAAUUCGGCACAGCUUGUACAGGAUAGGUAGGAGCCUUUGAAACGUGAGCGCUAGCUUACGUGGAGGCGCUGGUGGGAUACUACCCUAGCUGUGUUGGCUUUCUAACCCGCACCACUUAUCGUGGUGGGAGACAGUGUCAGGCGGGCAGUUUGACUGGGGCGGUCGCCUCCUAAAAGGUAACGGAGGCGCUCAAAGGUUCCCUCAGAAUGGUUGGAAAUCAUUCAUAGAGUGUAAAGGCAUAAGGGAGCUUGACUGCGAGACCUACAAGUCGAGCAGGGUCGAAAGACGGACUUAGUGAUCCGGUGGUUCCGCAUGGAAGGGCCAUCGCUCAACGGAUAAAAGCUACCCCGGGGAUAACAGGCUUAUCUCCCCCAAGAGUUCACAUCGACGGGGAGGUUUGGCACCUCGAUGUCGGCUCAUCGCAUCCUGGGGCUGUAGUCGGU